AUUGAACGCUGGCGGCAGGCCUAACACAUGCAAGUCGAGCGGAUGAAGGGAGCUUGCUCCUGGAUUCAGCGGCGGACGGGUGAGUAAUGCCUAGGAAUCUGCCUGGUAGUGGGGGAUAACGUCCGGAAACGGGCGCUAAUACCGCAUACGUCCUGAGGGAGAAAGUGGGGGAUCCUCGGACCUCACGCUAUCAGAUGAGCCUAGGUCGGAUUAGCUAGUUGGUGGGGUAAGGGCCUACCAAGGCGACGAUCCGUAACUGGUCUGAGAGGAUGAUCAGUCACACUGGAACUGAGACACGGUCCAGACUCCUACGGGAGGCAGCAGUGGGGAAUAUUGGACAAUGGGCGAAAGCCUGAUCCAGCCAUGCCGCGUGUGUGAAGAAGGUCUUCGGAUUGUAAAGCACUUUAAGUUGGGAGGAAGGGCAGUAAGUUAAUACCUUGCUGUUUUGACGUUACCAACAGAAUAAGCACCGGCUAACUUCGUG
rnacentral:rRNA from 1 species